rnacentral:rRNA from 1 species
UACGUAGGGAGCAAGCGUUGUUCGGAUUUACUGGGCGUAAAGGGCGCGUAGGCGGCAAAUUAAGUCAGCUGUGAAAUCUCCGAGCUUAACUCGGAACUGUCAGCUGAUACUGAUCUGCUAGAGUGCGGAAGGGGCAAUCGGAAUUCUUGGUGUAGCGGUGAAAUGCAUAGAUAUCAAGAGGAACACCUGAGGUGAAGACGGGUUGCUGGGCCGACACUGACGCUGAGUGCGCGAAAGCCAGGGGAGCAAACGGG